UACGUAGGGGGCAAGCGUUGUCCGGAUUUAUUGGGCGUAAAGAGCGUGUAGGCGGCCAGGUAGGUCCGCUGUGAAAACUCGAGGCUUAACCUCGAGAUGUCGGUGGAAACCAUCUGGCUAGAGUCCGGAAGAGGAGAGUGGAAUUCCUGGUGUAGCGAUGAAAUGCGCAGAUAUCAGGAAGAACACCCGUGGCGAAGGCGGCUCUCUGGGACGGUACUGACGCUGAGACGCGAAAGCGUGGGGAGCGAACAGG
rnacentral:rRNA from 1 species